rnacentral:rRNA from 1 species
ACGCAUGCAAGUCGAACGAGAGAUGAGGAGCUUGCUCUUCAAAUCGAGUGGCGAACGGGUGAGUAACGCGUGAGGAACCUGCCUCAAAGAGGGGGACAACAGUUGGAAACGACUGCUAAUACCGCAUAAGCCCACGGCUCGGCAUCGAGCAGGGGGAAAAGGAGCAAUCCGCUUUGAGAUGGCCUCGCGUCCGAUUAGCUAGUUGGUGAGGUAAUGGCCCACCAAGGCGACGAUCGGUAGCCGGACUGAGAGGUUGAACGGCCACAUUGGGACUGAGACACGGCCCAGACUCCUACGGGAGGCAGCAGUGGGGAAUAUUGCACAAUGGGGGAAACCCUGAUGCAGCGACGCCGCGUGGAGGAAGGAGGUCUUCGGAUUGUAAACUCCUGUUGUUGAGGAAGAUAAUGACGGUACUCAACAAGGAAGUGACGGCUAACUACGUGCCAGCAGCCGCGGUAAAACGUAGGUCGCAAGCGUUGUCCGGAAUUACUGGGUGUAAAGGGAGCGCAGGCGGGAGAACAAGUUGGAAGUGAAAUCCAUGGGCUCAACCCAUGAACUGCUUUCAAAACUGUUUUUCUUGAGUAGUGCAGAGGUAGGCGGAAUUCCCGGUGUAGCGGUGGAAUGCGUAGAUAUCGGGAGGAACACCAGUGGCGAAGGCGGCCUACUGGGCACCAACUGACGCUGAGGCUCGAAAGUGUGGGUAGCAAA